UAGUAACGGCGAGUGAAGAGGGAAAAGCUCAAAUUUUGAAUCUGGUGUCUUUGACUCCCGAGUUGUAAUCUAGAGAAGUGUUUUCCGUGUUGGACCGUGUACAAGUUCCCUGGAACGGGGCGUCAUAGAGGGUGAGAAUCCCGUAUAUGCCACGGACUACCAAUGCUCUGUGAUACACUCUCAACGAGUCGAGUUGUUUGGGAAUGCAGCUCAAAAUGGGUGGUAAAUUCCAUCUAAAGCUAAAUAUUGGCGAGAGACCGAUAGCGAACAAGUACCGUGAGGGAAAGAUGAAAAGCACUUUGGAAAGAGAGUGAAACAGUACGUGAAAUUGUUGAAAGGGAAGCGUUUGAAGUCAGUCACGUCUGUCGGAAUUCAGCCUGGCUUCUGCCUGGUGUACUUUCCGUCCGACGGGUCAGCAUCAAUUUCGACCGAGGGAAAAAGACGUGAGGAAUGUGGCUGUCUUCGGGCAGUGUUAUAGCCUCGCGUUGUAUGUCUCGGUUGGGAUUGAGGAACGCAGCGCGCCUAUUGGCCGGGGGUUCGCGCCCCUCGGUACGCGCUUAGGA
rnacentral:rRNA from 1 species